AGAGCGAACGCUGGCGGCAGGCUUAACACAUGCAAGUCGAGCGGGCGUAGCAAUACGUCAGCGGCAGACGGGUGAGUAACGCGUGGGAACGUACCUUUUGGUUCGGAACAACUGAGGGAAACUUCAGCUAAUACCGAAUAAGCCCUUACGGGGAAAGAUUUAUCGCCGAAAGAUCGGCCCGCGUCUGAUUAGUUUGUUGGUGAGGUAAUGGCUCACCAAGGCGACGAUCAGUAGCUGGUCUGAGAGGAUGAUCAGCCACAUUGGGACUGAGACACGGCCCAAAACUCCUACGGGAGGCAGCAGUGGGGAAUAUUGGACAAUGGGCGCAAGCCUGAUCCAGCCAUGCCGCGUGAGUGAUGAAGGCCCUAGGGUUGUAAAGCUCUUUGUGCGGGAAGAUAAUGACGGUACCGCAAGAAUAAGCCCCGGCUAACUUCGCGCCAGCAGCCGC
rnacentral:rRNA from 1 species